UACAGAGGGUGCAAGCGUUAAUCGGAAUUACUUGGCGUAAAGCGUGCGUAGACGGUUGCGUAAGUCAGAUGUGAAAGCCCCGGGCUCAACCUGGGAAUUGCAUUUGAGACUGCGUAGCUAGGGUGCGGAAGAGGGAAGCGGAAUUUCCGGUGUAGCGGUGAAAUGCGUAGAUAUCGGAAGGAACACCAGUGGCGAAAGCGGCUUCCUGGUCCAGCACCGACGUUCAGGCACGAAAGCGUGGGGAGCAAACAGG
rnacentral:rRNA from 1 species